AUUGAACGCUGGCGGCAGGCCUAACACAUGCAAGUCGAACGAGUGGCGGACGGGUGAGUAAUGUCUGGGAACCUGCCUGAUGGAGGGGGAUAACUACUGGAAACGGUAGCUAUUACCGCAUACCAUCAGAUGUUCCCAGAUGGGAUUAGCUGGUAGGUGGGGUAACGGCUCACCUCGGCGACGAUCCCUAGCUGGUCUGAGAGGAUGACCAGCGACACUGGAACUGAGACACGGUCCAGACGCCUACGGGAGGCAGCAGUGGGGAAUAUUGCACAAUGGGCGCAAGCCUUAUGCAGCCAUGCCGCGUGUGUGAAGAAGGCCUUCGGGUUGGAAAGCACUUUCAGCGGGGAGGCGUUACCCGCAGAAGAAGCACCGGCUAACUCCGUGCCAGCAGCCGCGGUAAUUC
rnacentral:rRNA from 1 species